rnacentral:rRNA from 1 species
AUGGCGACCGGCGCACGGGUGAGUAACACGUAUCCAACCUGCCGAUAACUCGGGGAUAGCCUCUCGAAAGAAAGAUUAAUACCCGAUGGUAUAAUCAGACCGCAUGGUUUGAUUAUUAAAGAAUUUCGGUUAUCGAUGGGGAUGCGUUCCAUUAGGCAGUUGGUGAGGUAACGGCUCACCAAACCUUCGAUGGAUAGGGGUUCUGAGAGGAAGGUCCCCCACAUUGGAACUGAGACACGGUCCAA